rnacentral:lncRNA from 1 species
UCAAGAGGCUUGCUGGGGCAAGAGCCCGGGUUAGACACCAGUCUUCUGUCGCCUAAUUAUAUGUCCUUUACAAGAUAGCUUUUUGUGGUGGACACAGAUGUGGUAAAAAUAGGCCUCUGGCUUCUGGAUAUUCACAAAAUGCAAGUAGUGCCAAUUACCUGUGAACAUGAAGGGUGUACAUUUUAAUUGACUCAGGCCUGGGAUUGUUAAAUCAUAUCAUUAAAAAAAUAAAUAUUUUGUGUGAUAUUUUAACAGGUGAAUUGCUUUAAAAUUUAGAAACUCCAUUCCUAAAUGUAACACCAAGAAUUAUUCUAAAUUAACAGUAAGCAAUAUUUCUAAGAGCUUUUAUUUCGUGUGUGUGUGUAUGUGUGUAUCAGUGUAUUGCGUGUGUGGUUUUACUCACCGAGGGUCCCUGAAAUGGCUUUCUUUGUUCCCAGAGAAAACAGUUUUGAUUUUUUAGGUGGAAAUCUUUAGUUUCUUCAUCAGUGUAAUAUGUGCUAUCAGUUCAAAUUUGAAAGCCACGUUUAUUAUUUCUGCUGUGGGGAGAAAAAUGCAGUUGCCUUUUGGGUUGGUUCUGUUGUGUGAUGUUUUACUAUUAAUCUCUGAUGGAUAAUUGCAUAAAUCGAUAAGGGGAAUAGGUGAGAAAUGAUGGGUAACAGGAAGCAGAUAUCCAUGUCUGAUAGAUUAGAUGGGGUCAGCUUCCUGCCAUCUUAUCAAGGGUGAUAGCAAUCAGCAAUUAACAAUUUAAAAAUCAUUGCCUUCAGUUCAAAAUGGAGUGUCACAUUUCCAAAUAAUUCAUUCUUUUCAAAUACUUGUGACAAUAGUCUACUUUCAAGACCUAUUUUAAACUGACAUUAACUAUUCUCUCCUAUUGAGUGUUAAUCCUGUUUCGUUUUCAUCAGGAAAACUCUGGAACAUUUCAGUUUUGCCAACUGGUUAGAGUCUGUUGAUACCACUGAGCAUUGUUUUACUAUUUGAGGCAGAAUUUCAGGUAUAAUAUGCUUUUCCUCAAUUCAACACCAAAAGGACAAAUCUGCAGCAUACCAAAAUGAAGUUCAUCAUCAAAGUUAGCAUAUAAUAUUAUCAAAUGCAUUAAUAUAUGUACUUAAUAUAUAUGUUUAUUUUUAAAUUGGGUUGAAUGUAUGUUCCCCCUUCUUGAGAAUUGUAGCAUAACACUUAAAAUUAUAAUAUGAAAAUAGAUUGUAUAGUAUGAAAUAAAUGUUAAAUUUUUUUAAUGGUGACUUUAGGUUUACAGCUUUUCCUGUCUUUUAGAACAAAUUAGUCAUUUUUUUUUAUCCUAAGAAAGGGUUGCAUUAUAAAGUUGCUCUACUACUCACCUAUCAGAGAAAACACAUGGGACUCAUAUCUAAUUCUCUAAUGUAGCCAAAAGUGCCGUUUGUAACACUACUUAAUGAUGGAUGUUUUCUGAAGCUCUUUUGCCUGAAAAAAAAAAAGUGCAUUAAAAAGCUUUUUCUGUACUGUAUUUGAUUUGGAAUCAUUUUCUCCCAACAUAGCCCUGUAUUGAUGAGCAUUGUGGAAUAGUCUAUAUAGAAAAAUGCUACGUAGUUGUUUACUACUGUGGGAGAAUGUUCGUUCUUUUUUUAUUUUCAACUACUUAGGAAAUUGAUUAUGUAAUUCAGAAUGUGUAGGGGCAGGGUAAAGUAUGGGAGUUAGUGAUUAUUUGGAUUACACUCAGUAUUAACUAAAAGAACUUCACGUUUUUCUCUCAUUUCCUUCCUUCCUUCCUUCAUUUUUCAUUCAUUCAUUCCUUCCUUCCUUCAUUCAUUCAUUCAUUCAAGAAAACUCACUGAGACUUUGUUUGGCUAGGCAUUGCAUAUAGAUCCUGGAAAUACAAAACUGAGUAGGUACGACCGUGGAUCCACCUCAUCCUUUGAGUCACCUUUGGGCCUGCCUCCUAGAAGUGUUCUCUCCAUCAAAGAGGGUGGGGCGGGCUAUGAUAUUAUGGUGUUGAAGCAGGUGGUCAAAUGCCAGAAACUACCAUCUAAUCCAAGAACUACAAGACCAGCAGCAACUUACAUUUAACUGUAUCUUUCGCACAACCAUGUCCCCACUUUCCUGCACCCAAGGUAACCACAGUGCUGAGUGCUGACUUUACCAUUCUCUUAUUCUUGAUCAUUGUUUAGAUUUUUUAAAAAUGAAAUUUAUUAAAAGAGCAUCAAGUUUUAUAUGAUCUGAGAUUUGCAUGUUUUCGUUCAGGAUUAUAUUACUAAGGUUCUUCUAGAUUUUUGUGUGUAGUCAUAAUUCGUUCAUUUUUCACAGGUUCAUAAAUUUCUAGAGCACAAGCUAUUUACUUGUCAUUGGGCAUUUGGGUUGCUUCCACUGCUGUUGUUAUCAUCAUUAAUAGGGUUAUUAUGAACAUUCUUCUACCAUCUCCUGGGAAUAAGCAAUGGAAUUUAUCUUAGGUAUUUACUUGGGAGAAGAAUUACUGAGUCAUGGGAAAUGUGAGUGCUUACCUUACAAGUUCACAUCUAACUAGUUUCCAAAGUGGUGAAUCACUGUAUACUCCCUUCCAAAAUAUGAAAGUGGUAUAUGUUGUGAAUAGCUUCUCCAACACUUGAUAUUCUGUGACUUCUUAAUUUUUGUCAAAUAAAUGUCUAUUUGGU